CCCCUCCCUACACAGCCGAGGUAAACAAGGUGCAUCUGUGGGCCUGGCAGGGCUCUUGCAGCCUGUGGGUGCACCACACCAAGGUUGUGGCUGGGCAGCAGAGGCACAGUGGCAGCGCUGCCCAGCCUGGUCCCAUCCUGUCCCAGGCCUCCCCCCGGCCUCCCUGCCCAUGCUCUGGCUCCUCACGAGUUAUGAUAACAUAGGCAGAUAUUCCCCCUGCCACCCAGCCAGUCCUGCGAAGUUGCACUUGUGGCCUUAAUCCCACUUGGAUGUGUGCCCCGCUGCCUCCACUCUCCGUCACUUGGGUACUUUAGUAUUCUUGAACAAGUGAACAAUCUUUGUUUCUGUACCUUAUUAGGCCAAAGACCAUAGCAGCUAGCGAUGGCAUCAGCAGGCCCUGCAGGCAGGAUUCUCUGCAGACACAGCCAACCUCCAACAAACCCCUUUUUAUCCUCCUGUUUCUAGGAAGAAUUAUGAUGGUGGUGCCCUGCUGUUGAUCAGUCAAAUCUGUGGUAGGCCUAGAGAUAAGUCCUGUAAGUGUGGUGUACUGUAAAACAGCGGCUCCCAUUCAUUAGUAGCUUGUGUGUAAUAAACCACCAAAAGGAGGGGGAUGGGGCGGGAGAGGGGAAGAGCAGCUGCAGUGUGCAGGAACAAACAACACAACUCAUUCUUGGGAGCCAAAACUUUCUAAUUUGCUGCUGGGCUGCUGGGAGCACUCAAAUUCUUUCUGAUAAUGCGCUCGUGCCCUCGGUGUCUCUCCCCGCAUUUCCCGAGUCCUGCUCUCCAGAGGUCCCCCAGUCUGGGACAGCUUCACUCCCAACCAAAACUAUAGACGCUGUUGCACAGGGAGGAGGAGGGGAACACAGCAACCUCCCAGUGUUUGCAGACUCCGGCGCAGCAAAGUGGUGGACCCGAGACAAGUCGUCCUGCCUGGGAAUGGCCGUUGCACGUAUCUGCUUGUGCAGUGGGUAAACAAAGCAUCACAUGGGCUGCAGAGCAAGCACGAGACGCGUCGCAAACCCAUACGUAUCUGAGGCAUGCAGGAGGGCUAGAAUGUUGUUAUCGAUAUAGAGACUGGUGGAAUAAUUAGGAACUUUUAUCUCCCAAAGUGCAGAAACAAACAAACAAAACAAAACAACAGAAAAACAAAAACAAACACCCUCAAAUCUAUAAUAGUUGAAAAAUUAUUUGGCUUAAUUUCUAGUUUUUCUUUUUCUUUUUUUUUUUUUUAUUUUAUUUUUUUUCCCCACAAGUUUCAGUAAAUAUUUACAUGAGCAUAAUAUUUCCCCAUUGCCCUGUAUUGGAAACCGCUCGUAGGCAUGUGCAUUUAAAUGGCAUUUACUAAGUAUAAUGUAACAUACUGCAUCUGUUGAGACCUCAGUGGUUACUAAUGCUUGCACAGCUGUGAAUAUGUUGGUGCUUUAAGAGCUUAGCCUUGGACCUGACUGCGUGUAGUCCAUUUUAGACCAGAAAUUAAAAUUACUGCGUGUUGCAGAACUGCCCUCAUAGAACAAGUCUUUGUGCUAAAGCUUGUACGUUCACAAGAAAGGAAAAUUAAUUUUACAGAGAUGCGGCUCUGAAGGACCAUUAUACACUUGCAGAUCACAGUGACUGCUUUUUUCACAGUGAUGUGCCAGGCUGUGAUGGUGCUUGGACUGCCUCCUAACAUUUCUAUAGACAAGAGAUACUUAAAUGGCACAUCCAGGCUUGGGCCAAACUGCAAGCACUCUUUAUGCAGACAUGAGGUUUUCCACUCUCUUGCAGGAGAUCUUGCUUGCUUUCCCUUCCCUGACCUCCUGGGGACUGGUGCCCUGUGCUGCCUGAGUCUUUACCUCUGCAAUGAGAGGUGCUUCUCCAGGCUGUUCUUGGUUGUGGUACCCAGUGGGUGGAGGGAAUAAAAUCCCUGAGGAUCCCAAGUGUGUAUCCACCAAAUGGUGUUAGCUAGACAUGGGCACAGAACUGUUCUCACAUCUCUUAAAAGUUUACAUAGUGAAGGAACUGAAACUGGCUACUUACCUGAACAUGGCUAGCGCAGGGUUCAGCCCUCCCUCCGCUUAUACAACAUUUUGGCAUUUUUUUAAAUAGUCUUUUGGCAUUUUGAGUUUCCUUCCCCCGACUUUGAUUGAUAGAUAGAUAGAUAGGUCAGUCAGUAGGUAGGUAGGUACGUAUAUAUUUUUAUAAUCAAAAUUGUGUCCUGACUUUUCAAAGAAAAUGAGGAAGGUAACAUGCCUGGUAAUUGCCUUGUGUCCUUACCACAUAAGCAUAUGGGUUUGUAGCAGAGAACCAGCCAUUGGAAAACUCCAGCACUGGUCUUUGUGUAUUUCAUGUGCAAUAAUGUUAUAUAUUGCACACUGAUUAUCAAGAUCAGAGCAUUCCUUUAACUGACAUGUUCUCUUGACAGCAGGCACCACACAACAGUUACCUGUCUGUGAUAAAGUUAUCAGCAAAAUGUUUGAAAUUAUAAAUAGGACCAUAAA